UGGGGCGAGCCUGAUGCAGCGACGCCGCGUGAGGGAUGACGGCCUUCGGGUUGUAAACCUCUUUCAGUAGGGAAGAAGCGAAAGUGACGGUACCUGCAGAAGAAGCACCGGCUAACUACGUGCCAGCAGCCGCGGUAAUACGUAGGGUGCGAGCGUUAUCCGGAAUUAUUGGGCGUAAAGAGCUCGUAGGCGGUUUGUCGCGUCUGUCGUGAAAGUCCGGGGCUUAACCCCGGAUCUGCGGUGGGUACGGGCAGACUAGAGUGCAGUAGGGGAGACUGGAAUUCCUGGUGUAGCGGUGGAAUGCGCAGAUAUCAGGAGGAACACCGAUGGCGAAGGCAGGUCUCUGGGCUGUAACUGACGCUGAGGAGCGAAAGCAUGGGGAGCGAACAGGAUUAGAUACCCUGGUAGUCCAUGCCGUAAACGUUGGGCACUAGGUGUGGGGACCAUUCCACGGUUUCCGCGCCGCAGCUAACGCAUUAAGUGCCCCGCCUGGGGAGUACGGCCGCAAGGCUAAAACUCAAAGGAAUUGACGGGGGCCCGCACAAGCGGCGGAGCAUGCGGAUUAAUUCGAUGCAACGCGAAGAACCUUACCAAGGCUUGACAUGUUCCCGAUCGCCGUAGAGAUACGGUUUCCCCUUUGGGGCGGGUUCACAGGUGGUGCAUGGUUGUCGUCAGCUCGUGUCGUGAGAUGUUGGGUUAAGUCCCGCAACGAGCGCAACCCUCGUUCCAUGUUGCCAGCACGUAAUGGUGGGGACUCAUGGGAGACUGCCGGGGUCAACUCGGAGGAAGGUGAGGACGACGUCAAAUCAUCAUGCCCCUUAUGUCUUGGGCUUCACGCAUGCUACAAUGGCCGGUACAAUGGGUUGCGAUGCUGUGAGGUGGAGCUAAUCCCAAAAAGUCGGUCUCAGUUCGGAUUGGGGUCUGCAACUCGACCUCAUGAAGUCGGAGUCGCUAGUAAUCGCAGAUCAGCAACGCUGCGGUGAUACGUUCCGGGCUUGUACACACCGCCCGUCAGUCACGAAGUGUAACACCGAAGCGUGCUACCCUUGUGAGGGACGUCGAAGGGGACCAGCGAUUGGAACUAAGUCUAAAACAGGUAA
rnacentral:rRNA from 1 species